AUACCUUUCUCGGCCUUUUGGCUAAGAUCAAGUGUAGUAUCUGUUCUUAUCAGUUUAAUAUCUGAUAUGUGGCUCAAUGAGUCACACGAUAUUAAAUUACUUUUUUAAGGGGGAGAGGCCAUUUCAAUAGCUUGCUAUUGGGUUUUUCAAGUGUCGCUUAUGCUCUGCACUAUUGCAAAGGCCGGCGCACCCCAC
rnacentral:snRNA from 2 species